rnacentral:ncRNA from 2 species
GCCAAGCGUUCAUAGCGACG